UACGUAGGGUGCAAGCGUUGCUCGGAAUCAUUGGGCGUAAAGAGCGUGUAGGUGGCUAGAUAAGUCGGAUGUGAAAUCCCUCGGCUCAACCCGAGGAAGUGCAUUCGAAACUAUCUAGCUCGAGGAUGGCAGAGGAAGGUGGAAUUCCUAGUGUAGAGGUGAAAUUCGUAGAUAUUAGGAGGAAUACCGGUGGCGAAGGCGGCCUUCUGGACCAUUCCUGACACUGAGACGCGAAAGCGUGGGUAGCAAACAGGG
rnacentral:rRNA from 1 species